rnacentral:rRNA from 1 species
UCUACUUGUAGAGCGUGACCUCCACUUUCUAACUCUGUGCAUUUAUUGGCGGAAGGACUUGAGCAAUCGAGCUUCCUUCUGCGGCUCAUUUUAAAACACUAGUUAAAGUAUGUAACGAAAUAUCGAAACAAAAAAAACUUUCAACAACGGAUCUCUUGGCUUGCUCAUCGAUGAAGAACGCAGCGAAAUGUGAUAAGUAAUGUGAAUUGCAGAAUUCAGUGAAUCAUCGAAUCUUUGAACGCACCUUGCGCUCUCUGGUAUUCCGGAGAGCAUGUCUGUUUGAGUGUCAUGAACUCUUCAACCCACCAGUUUCUUGUAGACUGAAUGGUGUUUGGUUUCUGAGCGUUGCUGGUCUUCGGAUCUAGCUCGUUCGUAAUAUAUUAGCAUCUCUAAUUCGAACUCGGAUUGACUCAGUGUAAUAGACUAUUCGCUGAGGACACGCUCUUGUAGUGUGGCCGAAUGAGAUCUCAGUAGAAGCUUCCAACUACUUUAGUCAACUUUAGAUUAGACCUCAGAUCAGGCAGGAUUACCCGCUGAACUUAAGCAUAUCAAUAAGCGGAGGAAAAGAAACUAACAAGGAUUCCCCUAGUAACGGCGAGUGAAGCGGGAAGAGCUCAAAUUUGUAAUCUGGCACUUUCAGUGUCCGAGUUGUAAUCUCGAGAAGUAUUUUCCGCGCCGGACCGCAUACAAGUCUGUUGGAAUACAGCGUCAUAGUGGUGAGAACCCCGUAACUGAUGCGGAUGCCCGGUGCUUUGUGAUAUACUUUCGAAGAG